GUUGGGCGUGGUGGCGCGCACCUGUAAUCCCAGCUACUCAGGAGACUGAGACAGGAGAAUCACUUGAACCCAGGAAGCGGAGGUUGCAGUGAGCCAAGAUCACGCCACUGCACUCCAGCCUGGGCAACAAAGUGAGACUCUGUCUCAA
ensembl:misc_RNA Metazoa_SRP Metazoan signal recognition particle RNA